UUUAGAUUCCAAAUUGUCCCAGAAGCUUGAUGGUCUCUCCGUUCUGGUUUAUGGCAGCCUGUAGGUAGGUGACGCUUCCCAGCACCACAAGUUGGCCAGAGCCAGGCCCUGACAAAAAGAUGAUCUGCAGAAGAGCCCACAGCAAACAGCCAGGUCCACAGGGAGCAGCAUCGGUUCACGGCGGGCAAGAGUGUGGCCUCACGUCUGGGAAAGGUGGAAGGUUGAGAACUAGGACCAAGACAGGCCCUGACUGGAAGAACAGGGGCAAGUAGGCAGGAAGAGGGAGGAGAGGAUCCUUGUCAGAGGAAUCAGGGUUGCAAUCCAUCUGGAGGGACUUAAUUGUCCCCAGCCCUCAGCUCAGCAUUGCUCGUGAAAAUGGAGGCUGCCCCUCAAGUGGACAUCGAGUGGCUACAACUGCUAGAAGGAGAGACGUCAGGAACACACUGCAAACCGCCUUUCACAUUUCACACCUCCAGGCAAUAGAAACAGCCGGACUUUCCUUGAAUAUUCUUCCAUGAAGACUGCAGAAGGCAAGGGUCUUUCUUUGGGAAAUAACAAUAAUACUUCACUAGAAUGUCAAUAAUAAUUAAGCUGGGGGUGUAUAGGGAAGAAAUAAAAGCAACAUCCCUCAA